GAUGAACGCUGGCGGCGUGCCUAAUACAUGCAAGUCGAGCGAACGGACGAGAAGCUUGCUUCUCUGAUGUUAGCGGCGGACGGGUGAGUAACACGUGGAUAACCUACCUAUAAGACUGGGAUAACUUCGGGAAACCGUAGCUAAUACCGGAUAAUAUUUUGAACCGCAUGGUUCAAAAGUGAAAGACGGUCUUGCUGUCACUUAUAGAUGGAUCCGCGCUGCAUUAGCUAGUUGGUAAGGUAACGGCUUACCAAGACAACGAUGCAUAGCCGACCUGAGAGGGUGAUCGGCCACACUGGAACUGAGACACGGUCCAGACUCCUACGGGAGGCAGCAGUAGGGAAUCUUCCGCAAUGGGCGAAAGCCUGACGGAGCAACGCCGCGUGAGUGAUGAAGGUCUUCGGAUCGUAAAACUCUGUUAUUAGGGAAGAACAUAUGUGUAAGUAACUGUGCACAUCUUGACGGUACCUAAGCAGAAAGCCACGGCUAACUACGU
rnacentral:rRNA from 1 species